GCCUACGGGACGCAGCAGUAGGGAAUCUUUCACAAUGGGCGAAAGCCUGAUGGAGCAACGCCGCGUGCAGGAUGAAGGCCUUCGGGUUGUAAACUUCUUUUGACAGGGAAGAGUAGAAGACGGUACCUGUCGAAUAAGCCACGGCUAACUACGUGCCAGCAGCCGCGGUAAUACGUAGGUGGCAAGCGUUGUCCGGAUUUACUGGGUGUAAAGGGCGUGUAGCCGGGUUGACAAGUCAGAUGUGAAAUCCUGCGGCUUAACCGCAGAACUGCAUUUGAAACUGUUGAUCUUGAGUACUGGAGAGG
rnacentral:rRNA from 1 species